GAGAUCAUACUUCACAGGAUCAUUUCUCUAGUUGAUCUUCGAAUACUUUUAACUCAAAGGUUGAUAUAUAUAUAUAUAUGAUAAAUAUA
rfam:Agrilus planipennis Contig11487, whole genome shotgun sequence.